CUACCACACAUUUCAAUUUCAUCAAACCACUUGAAGUAGUGACACAUUCCCUAAAUUUUAGUGAAAUUUCCUGAAUGGGAUUGCAUUUUUUCCAGGUGAAUCUAAGAAUUUCUAUGUGGUGGCAAAGGAUGGUGCUCAGUUACUGCCUCCAUAACUCCUAGAGCUAUGCACUAAAGUCAGAAAGUUUCUGGAGAAAUUUUGGACAAUCUUAGGCCAUGUUUGGAGAGUGCAUUUUUCUUGUGGGGCCCUGAUUGAGGUCUUCCAACAAAAAUAAAAUUGAAAAUGCUCAAGGAAUCCAGCUUGAGUGCUCAUAUUGGAAUGUCCAUCCUUGGAAAAUCGCCUGAUUCUGUUAGAAAUUCAGUCUGCUGAUAUCUUAUAGAUGGUAAUCUGCAAUCAUUGGAAAAUAGGGGGGCUAAGCCCUUCCAUAGCAAAAAGUGGAAUUUUUAUCCUCAGCAUGUAAAAGAAUCAAAACCACAAGGGAAAUCAAUCUUGAAAUUGCAAAACGAGGAAUGAUAUUCCAAUCAGCAAAUUAUUCCACUACUAGAAUCCAUAAAACGUUCUCAACUUGUUCAAAAAUUUGGAAAUGCUAGGAGAAAGGUUUGAGGGGUAUUAGAAAUUUAAAGGUUAUAAAGCAAAUUCCUUUGGGAUGAUAUACAAGUGGAUGUAAAUCACUCUUUUGCCUUAUUUUUGUGACAGAUUUUAUAUAGUUAAAAAUGUGAACCUUGGUCAGUUUCCAAAAUGCUAGAGAUUCAACACAACCUUCUCCAUGGAAAUAGAAAGGGCAUUUAACAUUCCAUACAAGCGUAGAUCAAUGCUUUUAAAGGCAAAGGCUUCAAGGAAUUGGCCAAAAGAAUUCCAGGCAUCGAAAAUAUUUUUAUAUUCAAAUAUGUUCUAU
rnacentral:lncRNA from 1 species